AUUGAACGCUGGCGGCAGGCCUAACACAUGCAAGUCGAGCGGAUGAGGGGAGCUUGCUCCUGGAUUCAGCGGCGGACGGGUGAGUAAUGCCUAGGAAUCUGCCUGGUAGUGGGGGAUAACGUCCGGAAACGGGCGCUAAUACCGCAUACGUCCUGAGGGAGAAAGUGGGGGAUCUUCGGACCUCACGCUAUCAGAUGAGCCUAGGUCGGAUUAGCUAGUUGGUGGGGUAAAGGCCUACCAAGGCGACGAUCCGUAACUGGUCUGAGAGGAUGAUCAGUCACACUGGAACUGAGACACGGUCCAGACUCCUACGGGAGGCAGCGGUGGGGAAUAUUGGACGAUGGGCGAAAGCCUGAUCCAGCCCUGCCGCGUGUGUGAAGAAGGUCUUCGGAUUGUAAAGCACUUUAAGUUGGGAGGAAGGGCAGUAAGUUAAUACCUUGCUGUUUUGACGUUACCAACAGAAUAAGCACCGGCUAACUUCGUG
rnacentral:rRNA from 1 species